GAUGAACGCUGGCGGCGUGCCUAAUACAUGCAAGUCGAGCGAACAGACGAGGAGCUUGCUCCUCUGACGUUAGCGGCGGACGGGUGAGUAACACGUGGAUAACCUACCUAUAAUACUGGGAUAACUUCGGGAAACCGGAGCCAAUACCGGAUAAUAUAUUGAACCGCAUGGUUCAAUAGUGAAAGACGGUUUUGCUGUCACUUAUAGAUGGAUCCGCGCCGCAUUAGCUAGUUGGUAAGGUAACGGCUUACCAAGGCAACGAUGCGUAGCCGACCUGAGAGGGUGAUCGGCCACACUGGAACUGAGACACGGUCCAGACUCCUACGGGAGGCAGCAGUAGGGAAUCUUCCGCAAUGGGCGAAAGCCUGACGGAGCAACGCCGCGUGAGUGAUGAAGGUCUUCGGAUCGUAAAACUCUGUUAUUAGGGAAGAACAAAUGUGUAAGUAACUAUGCACGUCUUGACGGUACCUAAUCAGAAAGCCACGGCUAACUACGUG
rnacentral:rRNA from 1 species